ACUCACUUUCAUUGUAUCUCACAGGGCAGUGGAUAUCAGGGGUCCGUAGAGCAACUGAAAUUUUCACUAUUAGAACCAGCACCCUAACUAACAGUUUCA
rnacentral:lncRNA from 1 species